rnacentral:sRNA from 1 species
GGCGGCAGAGCGUCCCCCACCUGUAGUUCCAGCUCCUGGGGAGGCUGAGGCCGGAGGACUGCUUGAGCCCAGGAGUUCGAGGCCAGCCUGGGCAACAUAGCAAGACCCCAUCUCUU